rnacentral:rRNA from 1 species
GUCCAUUUGAGGUUAUAAAUGGUCUGGCCUGCUCACUGAUAAUUAUAUUUAAGAGCCGCGGUAUUUUGACCGUGCAAAGGUAGCAUAAUCAUUAGGGGUUUAAUUGGAACCUGGAAUGAAGGGUUGGACAAAGGAAAAGCUGUCUCCAUAUUAUAAGUUGAAAUUUACCUUUAAGUGAAAAGGCUUAAAUAAAUCAAAGGGACGAUAAGACCCUAUAAAGCUUUAUAAGUUAUUUGAGUUUAAUUGAUUUAAAUUAUAAAAAUUAAAUUUAAUUAUUUUAUUUUAUUGGGGCGAUAUGAGUAUAAUUUUUGUUAACUGCUUAAAAUAAAUACAAAUUUGAGUGAAUAAAAAGUUAAAUGAUCCUUUUUAAAGAUUAAAAGACUAAGUUACUUUAGGGAUAACAGCGUUAUUUCUUUUGAGAGUUCAUAUCGAAAAAGAAGAUUGCGACCUCGAUGUUGAAUUAAAAUAUCUAUAUAAUGCAGCCGUUAUAAAAGAGGGUCUGUUCGACCUUUAAAUUUUU